rnacentral:pre_miRNA from 1 species
UCACCUCUGCAGGCCGGCUGGCCCAGGCUGAGCUGGGUGAGCAGCUCUUCCAAAGGCUCCCCCUCCAGCACCACUAGGAGC